GCAUUAAUGGGGUAGUGGUAACCUGGGUCGUUGCCAUUCGAGGCGCUUGAACUCGACCCGCCGGGGGUUCGAUUCCCCCUUAAUGCA